GGGUGACUAGUGACAGAGUGAGGAAGGGGGUGACACAGUGACAGAGUGAGGGAGGGGGUGGCUAGUGACAGAGUGAAGGAGGUGGUGACUGUCACUAGUCACACCCUUCCCUCCCUCACUCUGUCACUAGUCACCACCUCCCUCUGUCACUACUCCCUCCCUCCUUCUGUCACAAGUCACCCCCUCCCUCACUGUGUCACUAGUCACCCCCUCACUCUGUCACUAGUCACCCC